rnacentral:rRNA from 1 species
CAGUUCGGAUCGGAGUCUGCAACCCGACUCCGUGAAGCUGGAUUCGCUAGUAAUCGCGCAUCAGCCAUGGCGCGGUGAAUACGUUCCCGGGCCUUGUACACACCGCCCGUCAAGCCAUGGGAGCCGGGAGCGCUUGAAGUGCGUCGCCGCGAGGCGCGCCCUAGAGCGAGACCGGUGACUGGGGCUAAGUCGUAACAAGGUAAC